GAGAACCACUUCACUCGUAAGAGCGGGGUGGGGACAGUGGCGAACGGGUGCGUAACACGUGAGAAACCUGCCUUGGAGAUCGGGAUAGCCCGGGGAAACCCGGAUUAAUACCGAAUAUCUUCAUGACACCGCAUGGUGAUAUGAAGAAAUGGUCCGCCGCUCCAAGAUGGUCUCGCGGCCUAUCAGCUUGUUGGCGAGGUAACGGCUCACCAAGGCGAAGACGGGUAGCUGGUCUGAGAGGACGAUCAGCCACACUGGGACUGAGACACGGCCCAGACUCCUACGGGAGGCAGCAGCAGGGAAUAUUGCACAAUGGGCGAAAGCCUGAUGCAGCGACGCCGCGUGCGGGAUGAAGGCCUUCGGGUUGUAAACCGCUUUCAGCAGGGACGAAAAUGACGGUACCUGCAGAAGAAGCCCCGGCCAACUACGUGCCAGCAGCCGCGGUAAUACGUAGGGGGCGAGCGUUGUCCGGAUUUAUUGGGCGUAAAGGGCUCGUAGGCGGUUUGACAAGUCGGUCGUGAAAACCCGGGGCUCAACCCCGGGACGCCGGUCGAAACUGUCAUGACUAGG
rnacentral:rRNA from 1 species